rnacentral:sRNA from 1 species
CAUCCUCGAUUUGUUGUGGACAAAUAAAAUGGAUAUGUGAAUCAAAUCCACCAGCAGUCAAAAUUUUACCUUCUCCAGCAAUAACUUCUGUACCAGGACCAACAAUUAUAUUUACAUUUGGCUGAACAUCAGGAUUACCUCCCUUUCCAAUUUUAUAAAUCCUACCAUCAAGAAUACCUAAAUCAGCCUUAUAAAUCCCAGAUAUAUCUAAAAUUAACGCAUUUGUAAUUAUAGUAUCAACUGCUCCUUUAUUUCUUGUAAUUUGGGACUGUCCCAUGCCAUCUCUAAUA